rnacentral:rRNA from 1 species
UACAGAGGUCUCAAGCGUUGUUCGGAAUCACUGGGCGUAAAGGGUGCGUAGGUGGCGUCGUAAGUCGGGUGUGAAAUUUCGGAGCUUAACUCCGAAACUGCAUUCGAUACUGCGGUGCUUGAGGACUGGAGGGGAGACUGGAAUUUACGGUGUAGCAGUGAAAUGCGUAGAGAUCGUAAGGAAGACCAGUGGCGAAGGCGGGUCUCUGGACAGUUCCUGACACUGAGGCACGAAGGCCAGGGGAGCAAACGGG